CCCGGACGAGCUCACCGGAUAGCGCCGCCGCCGAGCCGUUACGCGCUGCCCAGCGUCGUCGUCAUCUCGUUCACCCCCGUACUACCCUAGUUGUGCUUCACGCGAGCCUCUCUGUCUUUUCGUCUAGUUUCCGCCUCGUUUGGUCACCGGACACGCGAUUCCGCGUUGCUCCGGCGAGCCGCCGCCGCCCGCCGCCGCUCACCGCCGGUCGCCGCCGCCACGUCAGCUCACAGCCGUCCGAUCUGGAGCGAACGGCUCAGAUCCAUCGCGCCCAGUCAACCGCCGCUUCCCUUUUGCGAAAAAGCCCUCGCAUUUUCUGCAUUUUGCGCCGUGGUUCGCAGCAGUUUAAAACCUUUUCCAAGAGGUCCUAUUUUCUUCCCUUUUAAACCUCGAACUUUUGUAAAAUCAACCCGCAGUACGUAGAGCACUUUUGUGCGUAAAACCUUCGGUUUAUGUCCUAAUUGUGUUUAGAUCCUCGGUUUCUUGCUGUUAAGCCCCUGAAAAUUUAGUUUUCUCGCAGGUAGGCUCCUGUAGCUUGUUUUAUGCAUACCUUUUGCAUCCUAGCUCCGUUUUUAGCGUUCUUUAUGUCCACAAGUUCGUUUCCACGCAUAGAAGAGUUUUGUAAGCUUGUUUUCUUCUAUUUAUUUUGAUUGGUGUAUUGUUUUCUCAUUUCAUGCUUUUGUUGCUUGUAUAUGCGUGCUCUAGAUGUUUGCUUUGGAUGAUUGUGUGGUGCUAGAAGGAGCAUAGUUUGAGGAAUCUGAAGGAGAAGAAGACUGAAGACUCUAGGCAGCAGCAGGGCUUUGAGAAAGGCAAGUGUCCUUGGUCAUUCCUGUUUAUACCUAAAUGACAUGCAAUAGAUUGACAAUAUUUAUUUAUCGCUUGCAUUAACAUGAUGGGUUCCUAUUAAGGAUCAUGCCUAGUUUCUUUUGAUCAUACCUUGCAGUCGGGUUGUUUAAUUAAAUUUGACAGUAGAUAAUGCUUAGUUUGCUCAACUGGGUUCGUAAAUAAACAACAUGGAUAAAUUUAUUUAUUUACUCUAUGUUCCUCUGUGUUGAUUUAAUUACAAGACCAUAUUUGUUAAUCGAAAUAUGGAGCAACCACCUAGAAAAACAUUGCAACCACAAGAAUUAAACAGCUCUAGUCUUGGCUAACUAAUUAGAGGACUCUAGUGUUGGACUGGUGAUAAAGGGGGGCAUGACUUGCGGAACCUCAUGCACUAGAACACACUAGGAAAGUCCGUGUAAAGGUCUAGUAGAGUCCCUAUGCAAUCACACAUCAGAAGUGUGGUAUUGUGCCUACUUUUGCAUAACAUGGUUGGGUUUAAAGUUCUCUUGAACUUUUAUGCGACUUGUGCGUAAAGAUGUACAACCUCUGUAGAGUGUUUAAAAACUGUUAUAACAGCCAUGCUCACGGUCAAGAGCGGCUUGGACCCUCACAUGAUUAAUUCACUUAAAGACGAAACAACUUGUGUUAAUGGUUAUGUUCAUACAUUUGGUAUAUCAAUCCUCUAUAUUAAUUGUGGGAUGGUAUAAACUUACAUUUGCUAGUAAUUAGCUGUUGAAUAAAACUUGACCAACCAAAAGUGCUAAUCGCAGUUAACCUUGUCAGCCUUCCACCAUAUAAAGCCUUGCAUGUCAUAUAUUUUCUCUCUUGCUGAGUAUGGCAUGUGCUCACGCUUAUGUUUUAUAUAUUGCAUCUACAACGUCUGGAUUGCUGCUUAGACCCAGAGAACUUUGAGGAUAAUACUGGAGUUUUUGGAGGAGUUCUAGGCAAGUCCCCUAGUCAGCUGCCUGUGGAGUUGUUAGUGAUCCGCUGCUUAUACUAGAGAUUUUUAUCUCAUUUCUGGUUGUGUAAUCUAUGUAACUCUCUCUGUCUUUACGCUUUAACACUGUAUUUGAUAUUUACUAAAGUCAUUGUAUGUGUGAAAUUUGAUCCUGGCACACAUAUGAUAGUCAUCUGAUUUUGCCUUU
rnacentral:lncRNA from 1 species